UGGGGAAUAUUGGACAAUGGGGGCAACCCUGAUCCAGCAAUGCCGCGUGUGUGAAGAAGGCCUUCGGGUUGUAAAGCACUUUAGGCUGGGAAGAAGGUGAGUAGUUUAAGAGACAAUUCAUUUGACGGUACCGGCAGAAUAAGCACCGGCUAACUCUGUGCCAGCAGCCGCGGUAAUACAGAGGGUGCGAGCGUUAAUCGGAAUUACUGGGCGUAAAGGGCGCGUAGGUGGUUAUAUAAGAUUGUUGUGAAAUCCCUGGGCUUAACCUAGGAACUGCAACGAUGACUGUAUAGCUUGAGUAUUGUAGAGGGUAGUGGAAUUUCCGGUGUAGCGGUGAAAUGCGUAGAGAUCGGAAGGAACACCAGUGGCGAAGGCGGCUACCUGGACAAAUACUGACACUGAGGCGCGAGAGCGUGGGGAGCAAACA
rnacentral:rRNA from 1 species